UUUGAAAUCUGGCACUUUCAGUGUCCGAGUUGUAAUUUGAAGAAGGUAUCUUUGGGUCUAGCUCUUGUCUAUGUUUCUUGGAACAGAACGUCACAGAGGGUGAGAAUCCCGUGCGAUGAGAUGUCUAGAUCUAUGUAAAGUUCCUUCGAAGAGUCGAGUUGUUUGGGAAUGCAGCUCUAAGUGGGUGGUAAAUUCCAUCUAAAGCUAAAUAUUGGCGAGAGACCGAUAGCGAACAAGUACAGUGAUGGAAAGAUGAAAAGAACUUUGAAAAGAGAGUGAAAAAGUACGUGAAAUUGUUGAAAGGGAAGGGCUUGAGAUCAGACUUGGUAUUUUGUAUGUUACUCUCUCGGGGGUGGCCUCUACAGUUUACCGGGCCAGCAUCAGUUUGAGCGGUAGGAGAAUUGCGUAGGAAUGUGGCUCGGCCUCGGUCGAGUGUUAUAGCCUUCGUCGAUACUGCCAGCUUAAACUGAGGACUGCGGCUUCGGCCUAGGAUGUUGGCAUAAUGAUCUU
rnacentral:rRNA from 1 species